UACGUAGGUGGCAAGCGUUGUCCGGAUUUACUGGGCGUAAAGAGCGCGCAGGCGGUCGUUCAAGUCGCGUGUGAAAGCCCCCGGCUCAACUGGGGAGGGUCACGCGAUACUGAUCGACUCGAAGGCAGGAGAGGGUAGUGGAAUUCCCGGUGUAGUGGUGAAAUGCGUAGAUAUCGUCAAGAACACCUAUUGCGAAGGCAGCUAACUAAGCUUAAACUGACGCUGAGGCACGAAAGUGUGGGGAUCAAACAGG
rnacentral:rRNA from 1 species